rnacentral:rRNA from 1 species
UACGGAAGGCAGCAGUGGGGAAUAUUGCACAAUGGGCGCAAGCCUGAUGCAGCCAUGCCGCGUGUAUGAAGAAGGCCUUCGGGUUGUAAAGUACUUUCAGUCGUGAGGAAGGUGUUAAGGUUAAUAACCUUAGCAAUUGACGUUAGCGACAGAAGAAGCACCGGCUAACUCCGUGCCAGCAGCCGCGGUAAUACGGAGGGUGCGAGCGUUAAUCGGAAUUACUGGGCGUAAAGGGCACGCAGGCGGUUAAUUAAGUUGGAUGUGAAAUCCCCGGGCUUAACCUGGGAAUGGCAUUCAAGACUGGUUAGCUAGAGUCUUGUAGAGGGGGUAGAAUUCCAUGUGUAGCGGUGAAAUGCGUAGAGAUGUGGAGGAAUACCGGUGGCGAAGGCGGCCCCUGGGCAAAGACUGACGCUCAUGUGCGAAAGCGUGGGGAGCGAAACAGGGAUUAGAUACC